rnacentral:rRNA from 1 species
GUUAUAUGGUCAAGUGACCAAGCGUGCACGGUGGAUGCCUUGGCAGUCAGAGGCGAUGAAGGACGUGGUAAUCUGCGAAAAGGUUCGGGGAGUCGAUAAACAGGCUGUGAUCCGAACAUGUCCGAAUGGGGAAACCCACUCUACUUGUAGAGUAUCCCACAGUGAAUACAUAGCUGUGAGGAGGCGAACCCGGGGAACUGAAACAUCUAAGUACCCGGAGGAAAAGAAAUCAACCGAGAUUCCCUAAGUAGCGGCGAGCGAAAGGGGAUUAGCCCUUAAGUGAUUUUGGUGUUAGUAGAAGGCUCUGGAAAGUGCCGCGAUAGAGGGUGAUAGCCCCGUAUACGAAAACACCUUAAUGAUGAAAACGAGUAGGACGGGACACGUGUUAUCCUGUCUGAAUAUGGGGGGACCAUCCUCCAAGGCUAAAUACUCCUGACUGACCGAUAGUGAACCAGUACCGUGAGGGAAAGGCGAAAAGAACCCCUGUGAGGGGAGUGAAAUAGAUCCUGAAACCGUGUACGUACAAGCAGUGGGAGCGGACUUGUUCCGUGACUGCGUACCUUUUGUAUAAUGGGUCAACGACUUAUUUUCAGUAGCAAGGUUAAGCGAUUAGUGGAGCCGUAGGGAAACCGAGUCUUAAUAGGGCGUUUAGUUGCUGGGAAUAGACCCGAAACCGGGCGAUCUAUCCAUGAGCAGGUUGAAGGUUGAGUAACAUCAACUGGAGGACCGAACCCACAUCCGUUGAAAAGGCUGGGGAUGACUUGUGGAUAGGAGUGAAAGGCUAAUCAAGCUCGGAGAUAGCUGGUUCUCCUCGAAAGCUAUUUAGGUAGCGCCUCGUAUCUCACCAUUGGGGGUAGAGCACUGUUUGGGCUAGGGGGUCAUCCCGACUUACCAACCCCAUGCAAACUCCGAAUACCAAUGAGUGCAAUUACGGGAGACACACGGCGGGUGCUAACGUCCGUCGUGGAAAGGGAAACAACCCAGACCGUCAGCUAAGGUCCCCAAGUGCCAGUUAAGUGGGAAACGAUGUGGGAAGGCUUAGACAGCUAGGAGGUUGGCUUAGAAGCAGCCAUCCUUUAAAGAAAGCGUAAUAGCUCACUAGUCGAGUCGGCCUGCGCGGAAGAUAUAACGGGGCUCAAACUGGCCACCGAAGCUACGGAUGCUUAGUUUACUAGGCAUGGUAGAGGAGCGUUCUGUAAGCCGUUGAAGGUCAAGCUGUAAGGCAGGCUGGAGGUAUCAGAAGUGCGAAUGUUGACAUGAGUAACGAUAAGGGGAGUGAAAAACUCCCCCGCCGGAAGACCAAGGUUUCCUGUCCCAUGUUAAUCAGGGCAGGGUGAGUCGGCCCCUAAGGCGAGGCAGAAAUGCGUAGUCGAUGGAAAACAGGUUAAUAUUCCUGUACCGAUGUAUAUUGCGAUGGAGAGACGGAGAAGGCUAGGCCAGCACAGCGAUGGUUGUCUGUGUUUAAGGCGGUAGGCAAGUGACUUAGGCAAAUCCGGGUCACUCUUUAAGAGAGGAUGUCGAGAACUGAUGACGAGCCCUCUUUUGGGCGAAGUGGUUGAUGCCAUGCUUCCAGGAAAAACUUCUAAGCGUCAGAUAUACAUUGACCGUACCCCAAACCGACACAGGUGGUCAGGUAGAGAAUACCAAGGCGCUUGAGAGAACUCGGGUGAAGGAACUAGGCAAAAUGGUACCGUAACUUCGGGAGAAGGUACGCCGGCCAGUGUGAAGGGCUUGCCCCGUAAGCACCAGUCGGUCGAAGAUACCAGGUGGCUGCGACUGUUUAUUAAAAACACAGCACUCUGCAAACACGAAA